GUUUGAUCCUGGCUCAGAUUGAACGCUGGCGGAAUGCUUUACACAUGCAAGUCGAGCGGCAGACGCGGGGGCAACCUGGCGGCGAGCGGCGAACGGGUGAGUAAUACAUCGGAACGUGCCCAGACGUGGGGGAUAACUACUCGAAAGAGUGGCUAAUACCGCAUACGAUCUGAGGAUGAAAGCGGGGGAUCGCAAGACCUCGCGCGUCUGGAGCGGCCGAUGGCAGAUUAGGUAGUUGGUGAGGUAAAGGCUUACCAAGCCUGCGAUCUGUAGCUGGUCUGAGAGGAUGAUCAGCCACACUGGGACUGAGACACGGCCCAGACUCCUACGGGAGCAGCAGUGGGGAAUUUUGGACAAUGGGCGAAAGCCUGAUCCAGCCAUUCCGCGUGCAGGAUGAAGGCCCUCGGGUGUAAACUGCUUUUGUACGGAACGAAAAAGCUCCGGCUAAUACCUGGA
rnacentral:rRNA from 1 species